rnacentral:lncRNA from 1 species
GGGCAUCCGGGAUGACAGCGUCUCCGGCGAAGAUGCUGUCGGCGGAUUCGUACAUGUCCGAGCAGGGUAGCUGGAACAUCAUGAACGGAUCGAACCCAAGCUCGUCGGCGAACCCCAGCAUGGCGCCGCCGCCGCUCCCCACAGAAGAGUCCUCGUCGACCCUCGGCAUCGUGUCGGCGAAGGUGCUCGCCGUGACAGGCGGUAGCGCGGCGACGGCAGUGGUCAGGUGGACGAUGGCGUCCACGUUGAAAAACUCCAUCAGCUCGGG